rnacentral:lncRNA from 1 species
CGACGCAGGUCGGAAGACUGUGCAUUUGCCUAUUGCUUCAUUCCUGGAAGCUGUACUGGAACUGUGAUUAAGCAGUCGCCACGGAGGUUCCCCAGAUGGAGGGAGAGAGGAGUAAGAAGUGAUCCCGAACAUGUAAGAAAUCCUCAGUUUAAUCUCUGUUUGAAUGAAUUGUGGUGUUAUCUGGGUUC